rnacentral:rRNA from 1 species
GUCUUUUUGAGUAUAAUUUAAAGUCUAACCUGCCCAAUGAAAUUAAUUAAAUGGCCGCAGUAUUUUGACUGUGCAAAGGUAGCAUAAUCAUUAGUUUCUUAAUUAGAAACUGGAAUGAAGGGUUGGACGAGAAAAUAGCUGUCUCUUUAUUAAUUAUUUAGAAUUUUAUUUUUAAGUUAAAAAGCUUAAAUUUUUUUAAAAGACGAGAAGACCCUAUAGAGUUUUAUAUAUAAUUAUAUAAUAGUUUAAAUUGAAAUUGUAAGAUUUUAUAGAAUUGUAUAUUUAGUUGGGGUGAUUAAAAAAUUUAGGUAACUUUUUUUUUAUUAUAACAUUAAUUUAUGAUUUUUUGAUCCAUAUAUUAUGAUUAAAAGAUUAAAUUACCUUAGGGAUAACAGCGUAAUUUUUUUUUAGAGUUCAAAUCAAUAAAAAAGUUUGCGACCUCGAUGUUGGAUUAAAAUUUAUUUUUGGUGUAGAAGCUAAAAUAUUAGGUCUGUUCGACCUUUAAAAUUUUACAUGAUCUGAGUUUAAACCGGUGUGAGCCAGGUUGGUUUCUAUCUUUAAAAAAUGUGGAUAUUAUAGUACGAAAGGACCUAGUAUCAAUAAAAUUUAUUUAAAAUUGAUUAAUAAUAAUAAUUGU